CAUCAAAGAGGAAUUCCAUUCCCCCCCCCCCCUCUUAAAUUUCUUCAUACAUUUCCUCCUGCUCUACGCGGAUGGCUACCCUGUCAAUUUGAAUCUCCUAAAUGAAGUUCUUCCCAGCCUUGGCAUUAAAAUCAUCCUCCGCUCGUUCCAAUCCAAACCUGGACUCAUCAUAUGUCGGCUGUUAGGAUGUGCCAUCCCUUUUCCUUUGCUUCUUGGGAGCCAUAGUACCUGCAGAGAGUUCAAAAAAACCAUCAAAUUCAUCCAAAUUAGUACCAAUCAGAUGGUUACUCAGACUUUGCCACCCGAUGGCACCAAAACAAUACCUCCAUUGGGUUCUGCUUUCCAAACUAGCCCCUCUAGCAGGGUGGUGAAGGUCACAACCUCCAUAAGGGCCUCACAACUGAACUACUUACCACAUUCGUCCUACACCACCCCACACUUAGUCCUUCACAUAUUUUUAAACAUUGACAACACCCCCAAUCACCAGUACAACACCCCACAAAAAAGAAUAGGCACAAACUACCCAAUAAUAUCACAACAACCACAUAUGUUUGGCCAAAAAGAGUCCCCACAACAACAACAUCCCAAAAAUAAAUUCUACAAUUGAAACACCAUGAAGGCUCAACCACCUUAGCACCAAACAAGUUCAAAAAAGUCCCAUACAACAAUGGAAACCAUAAAAGAGGCAAAACUUUAGCAACAAUUAAACUACCCUACCUAGGGUUAAACUAAGUAAAUGUAUAUGUACAUUACACUAGUUAGAAGAAAAAAAUAGAGAGAGAGAGAGAGAGAGAUAAAACUUACUUGAAUGGAUGAGGGAAAGUGGGUGGUGAAGGUGGAGAGUAUGGGAGGAUGAUAAUGGAGUUUUUGGGUGAGUGAGAGAGAGAUUCUGUGAAGAGGAGAAGAAAA
rnacentral:lncRNA from 1 species